rnacentral:rRNA from 1 species
GUAAGACUAACUCCCCAAUGAUAUCCCACGAAGGCAUCCGAAUGGGAUUAAAGAUUUAUCGGUGAUGGAUGGGGAUGCGUCUGAUUAGCUUGUUGGCGGGGUAACGGCCCACCAAGGCGACGAUCAGUAGGGGUUCUGAGAGGAAGGUCCCCCACAUUGGAACUGAGACACGGUCCAAACUCCUACGGGAGGCAGCAGUGAGGAAUAUUGGUCAAUGGGCGAGAGCCUGAACCAGCCAAGUAGCGUGCAGGAUGACGGCCCUAUGGGUUGUAAACUGCUUUUAUAAGGGAAUAAAGUGAGUCUCGUGAGACUUUUUGCAUGUACCUUAUGAAUAAGGACCGGCUAAUUCCGUG